GGGACUCUCCGGGCGACAAGUCCAUACAUCGAGGCGACGGUUGCCAGGAACCCGGUGCGACUCCGGGACGGUCCCGCCACUGUGACCGUACGCGCGAACCGCUCACGCGCGCACGGAAGUCAGGAACUGACCCGUCGUCCUCCUGCCAU
rnacentral:ncRNA from 2 species